AGAGAGAGAGAGAGCGAGAGAGAGAGAGAGAGAAGAGAGAGGCGUCGUUGAGAUAACGAUUUGUCGUCGUUUUCUUAACUUUUUUUUUUCUUUUCAAACUUAAUUUCUUCCUUUCGUUUGGGUGGAGAGGAAAGGCGGGAAGGGGACAGAGACACAAACGAAGAGCGUAGACUUAAACUAGAGUAAAAAUGGGUUUCCUUGACAAGUUUUUU
rnacentral:ribozyme from 1 species